AUUGAACGCUGGCGGCAGGCCUAACACAUGCAAGUCGAACGAGUGGCGGACGGGUGAGUAAUGUCUGGGAAACUGCCUGAUGGAGGGGGAUAACUACUGGAAACGGUAGCUAAUACCGCAUACCAUCAGAUGUGCCCCGAUGGGAUUAGCUAGUAGGUGGGGUAAAGGCUCACCUAGGCGACGACCCCUAGCUGGUCUGAGAGGAUGACAGUCCCCACUGGAACUGAGACAGGGUCCGGCCUCCUACGGGAGGCAGCAGUGGGGAAUAUUGCACAAUGGGCGCAAGCCUGAUGCAGCCAUGCCGCGUGUAUGAAGAAGGCCUUCGGGUUGUAAAGUACUUUCAGCGGGGAGGCGUUACCCGCAGAAGAAGCACCGGCUAACUCCGUGCCAGCAGCCGCGGUAAUUC
rnacentral:rRNA from 1 species